GUUUAAGCCGCCGCGGUAAUACGUAGGGUGCGAGCGUUGUCCGGAAUUAUUGGGCGUAAAGAGCUCGUAGGCGGCCUGUCACGUCGGAUGUGAAAACCCGGGGCUCAACCCCGGGCCUGCAUUCGAUACGGGCAGGCUAGAGUUCGGCAGGGGAGACUGGAAUUCCUGGUGUAGCGGUGAAAUGCGCAGAUAUCAGGAGGAACACCGGUGGCGAAGGCGGGUCUCUGGGCCGAUACUGACGCUGAGGAGCGAAAGCGUGGGGAGCGAACAGGAUUAGAAACCCCAGUAGUCC
rnacentral:rRNA from 1 species